rnacentral:lncRNA from 1 species
AGGGGUAGAGGGAAAAGAAAAAGAACAAGUUAUAAUAAAUUCUAAGAUCUUGAUUGUAUUUGGAAGUUGAUUGAAAAAGAGAAUUGUGAUGUAAAAAUGUAUCUAGUGUGAAUGCUUGUAAUAGCAAGUAAAUUAUAUUUUUGAUACUUAUGCAAUCUUUGGUUGAAAUAUGUUUCUGGUUAGAACUUCGUACAUUGUAUUGAUUGCGACGCUUUGGACGUACAGGGGAGACUCUGUCCGCGGUACAGGGAAAAUCCUGUCCGUU